rnacentral:rRNA from 1 species
CCUACGGGAGGCAGCAGUGAGGAAUUUUCUGCAAUGGGCGAAAGCCUGACAGAGCAAUACCGCGUGAGGGAUGAAGACUUACUGAGUUGUAAACCUCGGUGCCUUAAGGAAGAAGAUCUGACGGUACUUAAGGUGGAAAGCAUCGGCUAACUCCGUGCCAGCAGCCGCGGUAAGACGGGGGAUGCAAGUGUUAUCCGGAAUUACUGGGCGUAAAGCGUCUGCAGGUGGUUUUAUAAGUCUGCUGUUAAAUCUUGAGGCUCAACCUCAAAUCUGCAGUGGAAACUAUAAGACUUGAGUAUAGUAGGGGUAGAGGGAAUUUCCAGUGGAGCGGUGAAAUGCGUAGAUAUUGGAAAGAACACCGAUGGCGAAGGCACUCUACUGGGCUAUUACUGACACUCAGAGACGAAAGCUAGGGGAGCAAAUGGGAUUAGAUACCCCAGUAGUCCUAGCCGUAAACGAUGGAUACUCGAUGUUGGACGUAUCGACCCGUUCAGUAUCUUAGCUAACGCGUUAAGUAUCCCGCCUGGGGAGUACGCNCGCAGAGUAGAACGUAAUAGAGUAGACGCGNGAGACGUAGCCGACGGACGACGACGAGGGAGGUAGG